AGGAUGAACGCUAGCGGCAGGCCUAACACAUGCAAGUCGAACGGUAACAUAGAGAAGCUUGCUUCUUUGAUGACGAGUGGCGCACGGGUGCGUAACGCGUAUACAAUCUACCUUUUACAGGGGGAUAGCCUUUAGAAAUGAAGAUUAAUACCCCAUAGUAUAUAUUAAUGGCAUCGUUAAUAUAUUAAAGUUUCGGCGGUAAAAGAUGAGUAUGCGUUCUAUUAGCUAGAUGGUGUGGUAACGGCACACCAUGGCAACGAUAGAUAGGGGCCCUGAGAGGGGGAUCCCCCACACUGGUACUGAGACACGGACCAGACNNNNNNNNNNGCCAUGCCGCGUGCAGGAUGACGGCCCUAUGGGUUGUAAACUGCUUUUAUACGGGAAGAAACCGCCCACGUGUGGGCGUUUGACGGUACUGUAAGAAUAAGGAUCGGCUAACUCCGUGCCAGCAGCCGCGGUAAUACGGAGGAUCCAAGCGUUAUCCGGAAUCAUUGGGUUUAAAGGGUCCGUAGGUGGAUAAUUAAGUCAGAGGUGAAAGUCUGCAGCUCAACUGUAGAAUUGC
rnacentral:rRNA from 1 species